UACGUAGGGUGCGAGCGUUAAUCGGAAUUACUGGGCGUAAAGCGUGCGUAGGCGGUCCGCGAAGUCUGAUGUGAAAUCCCCGGGCUCAACCUGGGAACUGCAUUUGUGACUGCAUGGCUAGAGUACGGCAGAGGGGGAUGGAAUUCCGCGUGUAGCAGUGAAAUGCGUAGAUAUGCGGAGGAACACCGAUGGCGAAGGCAAUCUCCUGGGCCUGCACUGACGCUCAUGCACGAAAGCGUGGGGAGCAAACAGG
rnacentral:rRNA from 1 species